GGACUACUAGGGUAUCUAAUCCUGUUUGCUCCCCGCACUUUCGCGCCUCAGCGUCAGUCAUCGGCUGGAAAUCCGCCUUCGCCACCGGUGUUCUUCUUGAUAUCUACAGAUUUCACCCCUACACCAAGAAUUCCGAUUCCCCCUCCGUGACUCAAGUUCAACAGUUUCCAACGCAGUUCAUGGGUUAAGCCCAUGUAUUUCACGUCAGACUUGUCAAACCGCCUACGCGCCCUUUACGCCCAAUAAUUCCGAACAACGCUUGCCCCUUACGUGUUACCGCGGCUGCUGGCAC
rnacentral:rRNA from 1 species